UGAGGAAUAUUGGUCAAUGGACGAGAGUCUGAACCAGCCAAGUAGCGUGAAGGAUGACUGCCCUAUGGGUUGUAAACUUCUUUUAUAUGGGAAUAAAGUGGUCCACGUGUGGAUUUUUGUAUGUACCAUAUGAAUAAGGAUCGGCUAACUCCGUGCCAGCAGCCGCGGUAAUACGGAGGAUCCGAGCGUUAUCCGGAUUUAUUGGGUUUAAAGGGAGCGUAGGUGGACAGUUAAGUCAGUUGUGAAAGUUUGCGGCUCAACCGUAAAAUUGCAGUUGAUACUGGCUGUCUUGAGUACAGUAGAGGUGGGCGGAAUUCGUGGUGUAGCGGUGAAAUGCUUAGAUAUCACGAAGAACUCCGAUUGCGAAGGCAGCUCACUGGACUGCAACUGACACUGAUGCUCGAAAGUGUGGGUAUCAAACAGGAUUAGAUACCCUGGUAGUCCACACAGUAAACGAUGAAUACUCGCUGUUUGCGAUAUACAGUAAGCGGCCAAGCGAAAGCAUUAAGUAUUCCACCUGGGGAGUACGCCGGCAACGGUGAAACUCAAAGGAAUUGACGGGGGCCCGCACAAGCGGAGGAACAUGUGGUUUAAUUCGAUGAUACGCGAGGAACCUUACCCGGGCUUAAAUUGCAUUUGAAUAAUCAAGAAAUUGGUUAGUCGUAAGACAAAUGUGAAGGUGCUGCAUGGUUGUCGUCAGCUCGUGCCGUGAGGCGUCGGCUUAAGUGCCAUAACGAGCGCAACCCUUAUCUUCAGUUACUAACAGGUCAUGCUGAGGACUCUGGAGAGACUGCCGUCGUAAGAUGUGAGGAAGGUGGGGAUGACGUCAAAUCAGCACGGCCCUUACGUCCGGGGCUACACACGUGUUACAAUGGGGGGUACAGAAGGCCGCUACCUGGUGACAGGAUGCUAAUCCCAAAAGCCUCUCUCAGUUCGGAUCGAAGCCUGCAACCCGACUUCGUGAAGCUGGAUUCGCUAGUAAUCGCGCAUCAGCCAUGGCGCGGUGAAUACGUUCCC
rnacentral:rRNA from 1 species